AAUACUAACCUGCUGAAGAGCUGUCACUCCAACUUUCCAUCCUGGAAAUGUAUACAGAAGUUUACUACAAGAAGAAAAAUAGUUGAAAGCUUUUUUUUUGGAGGAAGACAAAAUCAGUUACACAUUUAAAAAAUGAAAUAAUAAUAGGUGAUAUUUAUGAAUUUCUUACUCUUCCACACAGUAUUCUGAUAAUUAAGCUAACGUCACAAGGCAAAACCUUUGGCAUAGAUAUUGACAGAUUUUAAGUUUUAACUAAACACAGACUACCCUAAGAUAAAGCAAAUAAAUUGUUAGCUCUUACCUUCUGAAUAUAUGUGCCAAAUAAUAAGAAUGCUGUCAGUAUCAACAGAGAUAAUGUGGUCUCCAAAGGGUUGCAAGAGAUGGAUUUCUGCCUUAUGACCCUUAAAGGACUUGGAUUAGGUCCUCAGAGGAAGAUUUUUGGAAAGCAGGCAUGUCCCAAUUUUCCUCAAGACGAAAGAAACUGCCUAUUCAGCCACACCCUGAGCUUCCCCGGACAAAGGCUGAGUCUUACUUUUCUAUCCCCAGUGCUUGGCUGAAGUCUUGUUCCACAGUGUGAGGAAGUUUCAAGAGGAGAGAGAGAGAAAAAAAAGUCAAGUGACAAAAUUUAAGAAAAGGAUGAUUGCAAUGCAUCCUGAGCUGCCUAUCUCCAAAUAUUCUUUCCCAUAAGCAGAACCAACAGGUAUAAAGGGGAGGAGUCAAUGGGCUCCAAGGAUGAGUGGAGGUAAAAAUUUCAAGAAAGAUAAUGUCCCUUAGAAAAGUAUGUGUGUAAAUUGUCUACGAACUAGAUUUGAAAGAUGAUUCAUAAGAAACGAAUUUGAGAAUUAUUUUAUUAAGAAAUAUAUA